GAUGAAGAACGCAGUGAAAUGCGAUAAGUAAUGUGAAUUGCAGAAUUCAGUGAAUCAUCGAAUCUUUGAACGCACCUUGCGCUCCUUGGUAUUCCGAGGAGCAUGCCUGUUUGAGUGUCAUUAAAUUCUCAACCUCACCAGUUUUCUGAACUGUUCUUCGAGGCUUGGAUGUGGGGGUUUGUGCAGGCUGCCUCACGGCGGUCCGCUCCCCUGAAAUGCAUUAGCGAGUUCAUACUGAACUUCCGUCUAUUGGUGUGAUAAUUAUCUACGCCGUGGACGAGGAUCAGACUCGCUUCUAACCGUCCGCGAGGACAAUACCUUGACAAUUUGACCUCAAAUCAGGUAGGACUACCCGCUGAACUUAAGCAUAUCAAUAAGCGGAGGA
rnacentral:misc_RNA from 1 species